UACGUAGGGUGCAAGCGUUAUCCGGAAUUAUUGGGCGUAAAGAGCUCGUAGGCGGUUUGUCGCGUCUGCUGUGAAAACCCGAGGCUCAACCUCGGGCCUGCAGUGGGUACGGGGCAGACUAGAGUGCGGUAGGGGAGAUUGGAAUUCCUGGUGUAGCGGUGGAAUGCGCAGAUAUCAGGAGGAACACCGAUGGCGAAGGCAGAUCUCUGGGCCGUUACUGACGCUGAGGAGCGAAAGCAUGGGGAGCGAACAGG
rnacentral:rRNA from 1 species